CUGGUGGCAGUGGUCUUGCUCUCCAGAAAGCUUUGUUUUGGGAGGUCUGGUGGUGUGUUUUUUUUCCUCCAGAUUGCUGGGGAUUUCCUCUGCUCCCCUGGGGACAUCCUGUUAUCUGAGCUGUGACUCAGCGGAAAGAUCUCAUUCCUUGUGACUGGACCGUUUUUCUUCCCUCUAGAUUUCUACAUGUGAUUGAUGCAAACAGUUUUUUUCCAAUCUACAACUCCAGAUGAAAUACCUCGGUUCCAUUAUGCAGCGUUGAUUUUCGUCGGGUGACAGGCCAGACUAUUGAGACAGGCUCAUUGCCAUUUUGUAAGAGGAAAAGAAAAGGAAACAGUCAUUCUCUCCUGUAGUUCUAGCAGCUGUGUGUGGGAUGACUUGGGUCUGGACAAGAGGAAACACCUUUUAAGGGUCAAGUGGUGUUUGGAGAGUAUUGUCUGAAACAAUUACUUAACGAAGUACAAGACUAGGUCAAAACAAAACCAUCACCGAUCGUGUGGACAGCAGCAGUGUAUAUGAUCCAAGAAGAAAAUGCGAAAAAGAUUGCAUGCAUUGUUUGUUUGUAUGUGCAAACAUAUUGAAACUAACUAAACACCAUAAAAUAACAUCAAACUGUCUUAGAAUUUCUGCCAGUAUUUGGGAAUUAAAAAAUGUGUGCCAACCUGAACCCAACAGGCCUGAAGAAAUGUUAUUUCCAGAAAUUAAACCAAAUUAAAAAGAGACACCAGACCAGCUUGACACAACCUGAAUAAACCUAAAGAGAAACUUGCUCAGUUCGAGAUGCAGUCAGCCUGAUGCACGGCGGUGCAUGUUUUGGCACCAAUCAUCUGUCAGUCAUGGAAAACAAAGCGACACAUCUCAAUCGUCAGACUUGAGACUCGUUGGUAAUGUAACCUCCCCUUUAAGAAGAGCGUGCCGAAAGCUCUGCUCAGACACUAAAUCAGAUGGCUGUUACACAACCCUGACAAUAUAAAUUAAGACCUCUCCUGGAUGAUCUCAUGCUGUUAAAAACCCCUCUCCUGGGGUUUCUCUUGUGUUUCCCCUUAAAGCGAAUCACAUCCCUGUGAACCAGUCUGACCCCGCUUCAAUGUAAAUCUCUGUUUCCACCUCUCAGCUGAUUAAACAUCAUGACUAACGUUUGGUCAAGCCUGCUGUGUGUCACACAAGGUUCCUCCACAGAGUAAUGAGCAUUACGACAUGCUGUGAGGUCGAGGGAGGGAGGCAGAGAGAAGUUUUGGCCAGUUGUGCCCAAGGGCCUCCAGUUAAACAGCUGGGUGGGGUGAACUCUGGCCUCGAUGGCCUGUACUUUGGUGAACAUGUCAGUUUGUCAUUUUCUCCUCCUCCCUAGAAAGACUCUUAUUAAUGCUAUUCCUGCAGCGUUACACCCAAAACUUGAGAGAAGAUUUUUUCACUAUGAAAAGAUUCGGCUGGAGAUAAAGUUGUAAACGCUUCGCUUUUAAAUGUAAUU